rnacentral:rRNA from 1 species
GAUGAACGCUAGCGGGAGGCUUAAUACAUGCAAGUCGAGGGGUAACAUGAGAGCUUGCUCUUGAUGACGACCGGCGCACGGGUGAGUAACGCGUACACAAUCUGCCCUUAAGUGGGGAAUAGCCCUGGGAAACUGGGAUUAAUGCCCCAUAGUAUUCAACUAUCGCAUGAUAGAUGAAUUAAAGUUCCGAUGCUUAAGGAUGAGUGUGCGUCCCAUUAGCUUGUUGGUAAGGUAACGGCUUACCAAGGCAACGAUGGGUAGGGGGCGUGAGAGCGUGAUCCCCCACACGGGUACUGAGACACGGACCCGACUCCUACGGGAGGCAGCAGUAAGGAAUAUUGGACAAUGCCCGAAAGGGUGAUCCAGCCAUCCCGCGUGAAGGAAGACUG